rnacentral:rRNA from 1 species
UUAAGUUAUUAAGGGCGCACGGUGGAUGCCUUGGCACUAGAAGCCGACGAAGGACGUUACUAACGACGAUAUGCUUUGGGUAGCUGUAAGUAAGCGUUGAUCCAGAGAUUUCCGAAUGGGGGAACCCAACACGAGUUAUGUCGUGUUAUCGACAAGUGAAUUCAUAGCUUGUCAGAAGGCAGACCCGGAGAACUGAAACAUCUUAGUACCCGGAGGAAGAGAAAGAAAAAUCGAUUCCCUGAGUAGCGGCGAGCGAAACGGGAAGAGCCCAAACCAAUAAGCUUGCUUAUUGGGGUUGUAGGACACUCUAUACGGAGUUACAAAGGAAUAUGUUAGACGAAUCAUCUGGAAAGUUGAAUCAAAGAAGGUAAUAAUCCUGUAGUUGAAAAUAUAUUCUCUCUUGAGUGGAUCCUGAGUACGACGGAGCACGUGAAAUUCCGUCGGAAUCUGGGAGGACCAUCUCCUAAGGCUAAAUACUCUCUAGUGACCGAUAGUGAACCAGUACCGUGAGGGAAAGGUGAAAAGUACCCCGGAAGGGGAGUGAAAGAGAACUUGAAACCGUGUGCUUACAAGUAGUCAGAGCCCGUUAAUGGGUGAUGGCGUGCCUUUUGUAGAAUGAACCGGCGAGUUACGAUCUGAUGCAAGGUUAAGCAGGAAAUGUGGAGCCGUAGCGAAAGCGAGUCUGAAUAGGGCGUUGAGUAUUUGGUCGUAGACCCGAAACCAGGUGAUCUACCCAUGGUCAGGUUGAAGUUCAGGUAACACUGAAUGGAGGACCGAACCGACUUACGUUGAAAAGUGAGCGGAUGAACUGUGGGUAGCGGAGAAAUUCCAAUCGAACUUGGAGAUAGCUGGUUCUCUCCGAAAUAGCUUUAGGGCUAGCCUCAAGUGAUGAUUAUUGGAGGUAGAGCACUGUUUGGACGAGGGGCCCCUCUCGGGUUACCGAAUUCAGACAAACUCCGAAUGCCAAUUAAUUUAACUUGGGAGUCAGAACAUGGGUGAUAAGGUCCGUGUUCGAAAGGGAAACAGCCCAGACCACCAGCUAAGGUCCCAAAAUAUAUGUUAAGUGGAAAAGGAUGUGGCGUUGCCCAGACAACUAGGAUGUUGGCUUAGAAGCAGCCAUCAUUUAAAGAGUGCGUAAUAGCUCACUAGUCGAGUGACACUGCGCCGAAAAUGUACCGGGGCUAAACAUAUUACCGAAGCUGUGGAUUGUCCGUAGGACAAUGGUAGGAGAGCGUUCUAAGGGCGUUGAAGCAUGAUCGCAAGGACAUGUGGAGCGCUUAGAAGUGAGAAUGCCGGUGUGAGUAGCGAAAGACGGGUGAGAAUCCCGUCCACCGAUUGACUAAGGUUUCCAGAGGAAGGCUCGUCCGCUCUGGGUUAGUCGGGUCCUAAGCUGAGGCCGACAGGCGUAGGCGAUGGAUAACAGGUUGAUAUUCCUGUACCACCUAGCAUCGUUUUAAUCGAUGGGGGGACGCAGUAGGAUAGGCGAAGCGUACGAUUGGAUUGUACGUCUAAGCAGUGAGAUUGAGUGUUAGGCAAAUCCGGCACUCUUAAGAUUGAGCUGUGAUGGGGAGAGGAAAUUGUUUCCUCGAGUCGUUGAUUUCACACUGCCGAGAAAAGCCUCUAGAUAGAUAAUAGGUGCCCGUACCGCAAACCGACACAGGUAGUCAAGAUGAGAAUUCUAAGGUGAGCGAGCGAACUCUCGUUAAGGAACUCGGCAAAAUGACCCCGUAACUUCGGGAGAAGGGGUGCUCUUUAGGGUGCAAGCCCAGAAGAGCCGCAGUGAAUAGGCCCAAGCGACUGUUUAUCAAAAACACAGGUCUCUGCUAAACCGUAAGGUGAUGUAUAGGGGCUGACGCCUGCCCGGUGCUGGAAGGUUAAGAGGAGUGGUUAGCUUCUGCGAAGCUACGAAUCGAAGCCCCAGUAAACGGCGGCCGUAACUAUAACGGUCCUAAGGUAGCGAAAUUCCUUGUCGGGUAAGUUCCGACCCGCACGAAAGGCGUAACGAUUUGGGCACUGUCUCAACGAGAGACUCGGUGAAAUCAUAGUACCUGUGAAGAUGCAGGUUACCCGCGACAGGACGGAAAGACCCCGUGGAGCUUUACUGUAGCCUGAUAUUGAAAUUCGGCACAGCUUGUACAGGAUAGGUAGGAGCCUUUGAAACGUGAGCGCUAGCUUACGUGGAGGCGCUGGUGGGAUACUACCCUAGCUGUGUUGGCUUUCUAACCCGCACCACUUAUCGUGGUGGGAGACAGUGUCAGGCGGGCAGUUUGACUGGGGCGGUCGCCUCCUAAAAGGUAACGGAGGCGCCCAAAG